GACGAACGCUGGCGGCGUGCUUAACACAUGCAAGUCGAACGGAAAGGCCCUGCUUUUGUGGGGUGCUCGAGUGGCGAACGGGUGAGUAACACGUGAGUAACCUGCCCUUGACUUUGGGAUAACUUCAGGAAACUGGGGCUAAUACCGGAUAGGAGCUCCUGCUGCAUGGUGGGGGUUGGAAAGUUUCGGCGGUUGGGGAUGGACUCGCGGCUUAUCAGCUUGUUGGUGGGGUAGUGGCUUACCAAGGCUUUGACGGGUAGCCGGCCUGAGAGGGUGACCGGCCACAUUGGGACUGAGAUACGGCCCAGACUCCUACGGGAGGCAGCAGUGGGGAAUAUUUCACAAUGGGCGGAAGCCUGAUGCAGCAACGCCGCGUGCGGGAUGACGGCCUUCGGGUGGUAAACCGCUUUCGCCUGUGACGAAGCGUGAGUGACGGUAAUGGGUAAAGAAGCACCGGCUAACUACGU
rnacentral:rRNA from 1 species